GGAAUAUUGGACAAUGGUGGAAACCCUGAUCCAGCCAUGCCGCGUGAGUGAGAAGGCCUUCGGGUUGUAAAGCUCUUUUGUACGGGAAGAUGAUGACGGUACCGUAAGAAUAAGCACCGGCUAACUUCGUGCCAGCAGCCGCGGUAAUACGAAGGGUGCAAGCGUUGUUCGGAAUUACUGGGCGUAAAGGGCAUGUAGGCUGAUAAAUUAGUUAGGGGUGAAAUCCCGGGGCUCAACCUCGGAAUUGCCUUUAAUACGGUUUAUCUAGAGUGUUAGAGGGGAUAAUGGAAUACCCAGUGUAGAGGUGGAAUUCGUAGAUAUUGGGUAGAACACCAGUGGCGAAAGCGAUUAUCUGGCUAACAACUGACGCUGAGAUGCGAAAGCGUGGGGAUCAAACA
rnacentral:rRNA from 1 species